rnacentral:piRNA from 1 species
UGGCCUCUAUAGACACCAGGAAUGCCAUUA